rnacentral:miRNA from 1 species
UAGGCGGGCUGCCGACUGAC